GUAUGUAUGUAUGUACAUACAUGUGUAUAUGGUACAUUCAUGUAGUACAUACAUACAUAUGU
rnacentral:pre_miRNA from 1 species